rnacentral:rRNA from 1 species
UUGGGACCUGAUAUCAGGCAAGACUACCCGCUGAAUUUAAGCAUAUAACUAAGCGGAGGAAAAGAAACUAACAAGGAUUCCCCUAGUAACGGCGAGUGAAGCGGGAAGAGCUCAAGCUUGAAAUCUCCGCACAAGUUUUGUGUGGCGAAUUGUAGUCUAUAGAAGCGAUGUCAGCAUAGCUGCUCUAGUCAAGUUCCUUGGAAAAGGACAGCAUGGAGGGUUAUACUCCCGUCAUUGCUGGAGCAUGCUGUGUGUACGACACGUUUUCUUUGAGUCGCGUUGUUUGGGAAUGCAGCGCAAAGUAGGUGGUAAAUUCCAUCUAAAGCUAAAUAUAAGUGCGAGACCGAUAGCGAACAAGUACCGUGAGGGAAAGAUGAAAAGAACUUUGAAAAGAGAGUUAAAGAGUACCUGAAACUGCUGAAAGGGAAGCGAAUCGUAUCCAGUGUCUAUAAUCCGCAACAUAUUACAAUGAUGUGUCUUUGCUUUCCGCGUGUAGGUAGUAGCCUUGGUUGCACCUUGCGUGGAUUGGUUGAGCCAUAUCGUUGCCCUGUGUUGUGGUGGGACGCCAAAGUCAGUUUGUACGUCGCAGGAAAUGAUUGACGAGGAAGAUAGGUUUGCUGCUUGCAGCGUUCCAUUAUAUCCUUAUCGAUGUCUGCUGUGACGGAGACUGAGGUGUCUUUAACAUGCUCUCGAGUCUAUUAGACAUUCACUUGGUUGAGUGCGUAGAUAGCUUGCUAUGUACGUGUUUAUACAGGGUGAUUGUGUUUGGUAGUAACUUGUUGCUGUUCGGGACUUUGGCGAAAUGGAGCGAUUCGGCCCGUCUUGAAACACGGACCAAGGAGUCUAACAUGUGUGCAAGUAUUUGGGUGUUGAAACCCCAGUGCGUAAUGAAAGUAAAGGGUAAUGUAGAUUGCCUUAGGUAGGAAAGCGCUGUAUGGUGCUGGCACUAUCGACCGAUCAUGAACCUUCGUGGUGAAAGAUUUGAGUUUGAGCACAUAUGUUGGUACCCGAAAGAUGGUGAACUAUGCCUGAGUAGGGUGAAGCCAGGGGAAACUCUGGUGGAAGCUCGUAGCGAUUCUGACGUGCAAAUCGAUCGUCAAACUUGGGUAUAGGGGCGAAAGACUAAUCGAACCAUCUAGUAGCUGGUUCCCUCCGAAAUUUCCCUCAGGAUAGCAGCAACUUUUUACGAUAGUUUUAUGAGGUAAAGCGAAUGAUUAGAGGAUUCGGGGAAGAAACUUCCUUGACCUAUUCUCAAACUUUAAAUUUGUAAGACCUGCGAGUUUCUUAAUUGAACUCGUAGACGUGAAUAUCAAGUUGUUAGUGGGCCAUACGGGGUAAGCUCGUCUGGCGAUGCGGGAUGAACCGAACGCAAAGUUAAAGUGCCAAAGUGCUCGCUCACCUAGAUACCAUAAAAGGUGUUGGUUCAUUUAGACAGCAGGACGGUGCCCAUGGAA